GACGAACGCUGGCGGCGUGCUUAACACAUGCAAGUCGAACGGUAAGGCCCUUCGGGGUACACGAGUGGCGAACGGGUGAGUAACACGUGGGUGAUCCGCCCUGCACUUCGGGAUAAGCCUGGGAAACUGGGUCUCAUACCGGAUAGGACCACUGCCUGCAUGGGUGGUGGUGGAAAGCUUUUGCGGUGUGGGAUGGGCCCGCGGCCUAUCAGCUUGUUGGUGGGGUGAUGGCCUACCAAGGCGACGACGGGUAGCCGGCCUGAGAGGGUGACCGGCCACACUGGGACUGAGAUACGGCACAGACUCCUACGGGAGGCAGCAGUGGGGAAUAUUGCACAAUGGGCGCAAGCCUGAUGCAGCGACGCCGCGUGAGGGAUGACGGCCUUCGGGUUGUAAACCUCUUUCAGCACCGACGAAGCGCAAGUGACGGUAGGUGCAGAAGAAGGACCGGCCAACUACGUGCCAGCCGCCGCGGUAA
rnacentral:rRNA from 1 species